rnacentral:miRNA from 1 species
CACUUUUAAAAUCGGUUCUUAAAUAACUAAUUUUAAAAGUAACAUUUUUAAAAUCGGUCAUAAAAUAACCGAUCUUAAAAGUG